AAGCAUGCGGCAGCUAUAAUGCAGUCGAGCGAAUGGAUUAAGAGCUUGCUCUUAUGAAGUUAGCGGCGGACGGGUGAGUAACACGUGGGUAACCUGCCCAUAAGACUGGGAUAACUCCGGGAAACCGGGGCUAAUACCGGAUAACAUUUUGAACUGCAUGGUUCGAAAUUGAAAGGCGGCUUCGGCUGUCACUUAUGGAUGGACCCGCGUCGCAUUAGCUAGUUGGUGAGGUAACGGCUCACCAAGGCAACGAUGCGUAGCCGACCUGAGAGGGUGAUCGGCCACACUGGGACUGAGACACGGCCCAGACUCCUACGGGAGGCAGCAGUAGGGAAUCUUCCGCAAUGGACGAAAGUCUGACGGAGCAACGCCGCGUGAGUGAUGAAGGCUUUCGGGUCGUAAAACUCUGUUGUUAGGGAAGAACAAGUGCUAGUUGAAUAAGCUGGCACCUUGACGGUACCUAACCAGAAAGCCACGGCUAACUACGUGCCAGCAGCCGCGGUAAUACGUAGGUGGCAAGCGUUAUCCGGAAUUAUUGGGCGUAAAGCGCGCGCAGGUGGUUUCUUAAGUCUGAUGUGAAAGCCCACGGCUCAACCGUGGAGGGUCAUUGGAAACUGGGAGACUUGAGUGCAGAAGAGGAAAGUGGAAUUCCAUGUGUAGCGGUGAAAUGCGUAGAGAUAUGGAGGAACACCAGUGGCGAAGGCGACUUUCUGGUCUGUAACUGACACUGAGGCGCGAAAAGCGUGGGGGAGCAAACAGGAUUC
rnacentral:rRNA from 2 species